rnacentral:rRNA from 1 species
AUUGCACGCUGGCGGCAGGCUUAACACAUGCAAGUCGAGCGGAGCGAGGGUGCUUGCACCUUAGCUUAGCGGGGGACGGGUGAGUAAUGCUUAGGAAUCUGCCUAUUAGUGGGGGACAACAUUCCGAAAGGAAUGCUAAUACCGCAUACGCCCUACGGGGGAAAGCAGGGGAUCUUGGGACCGUGCGCUAAUAGAUGAGCCUAAGGGGGAUUAGCGAGUUGGUGGGGUAGAGGCCUACCAAGGAGAAGAUCUGUAGCGGGUCUGAGAGCAUGAUCAGCCACACUGGGACUGAGACACGGCCCAGACUCCUACGGGAGGCAGCAGUGGGGAAUAUUGGACAAUGGGCGGAAGCCUGAUCCAGCCAUGCCGCGUGUGUGAAGAAGGCCUUUUGGUUGUAAAGCACUUUAAGCGAGGAGGAGGCUACUUAGAUUAAUACUCUAGGAUAGUGGACGUUACUCGCAGAAUAAGCACCGGCUAACUCUGUGCCAGCAGCCGCCGUAAAAC